GACUCAGAAGAGAUAAGAGUAGAGGCAGGGAUACUAGCUAAGAAGCUGUUGCAGCAAUGAAAGAAGAAAUGAUGAGAACCUAAACUAAGGCAAUACUAAUGGGAGCAAAGAGAAGUGAAGAGAUUUCACAGGUUUAUAAGAAGAAAGUGAUGAGAACACCAAAGACAGAAUAUAUGGUUCUUCUAGAAGAUCCACUUUCAAUUUUACUAAAGUGAAUGACCCACUUCGAUGAAAAGAAUAAUGACUUCUAAGGUCUCUUACAACUCUAAUGUUACAAUUCUAUUGUUCAUCUGGAAUUGCCUUUUGAAGACAGCACACCUGUGGCCUAAAACUUCCUUGGUGAACAUGUGAAAUAUUUUUUAAUGAAAGUCCAUUACAUAUAAAGCCAUACAACCCCAAACAUGCAGUGAUAAUGCUUAUAGCAAAGAAAAACCAAGUAAAGACACUAUCUACAUUUACCUACUCUGAUCCCAAUUGGCUGCAAACAGCAAAAGAAUCUUCCUGCCAUAAUGGUCUCGGUUUUCCAGCACCCCGGGGAAUCCAUCGAUCAGAGCCCUCUUAAUGCCGGGAUCAUCUGC
rnacentral:antisense_RNA from 1 species